UACGUAGGGCGCAAGCGUUGUCCGGAAUUAUUGGGCGUAAAGAGCUCGUAGGCGGCCUGUCGCGUCUGCUGUGAAAUCCCGGGGCUCAACCCCGGGCCUGCAGUGGAUACGGGCUGGCUGGAGGCAGGCAGGGGAGAACGGAAUUCCUGGUGUAGCGGUGAAAUGCGCAGAUAUCAGGAGGAACACCGGUGGCGAAGGUGGUUCUCUGGGCCUGUUCUGACGCUGAGGAGCGAAAGCGUGGGGAGCGAACAGG
rnacentral:rRNA from 1 species